rnacentral:rRNA from 1 species
AUUGAACGCUGGCGGCAGGCCUAACACAUGCAAGUCGAACGGUAACAGGGAUCAGCUUGCUGAUUCGCUGACGAGUGGCGGACGGGUGAGUAAUGUCUGGGAAACUGCCUGAUGGAGGGGGAUAACUACUGGAAACGGUAGCUAAUACCGCAUAACGUCGCAAGACCAAAGAGGGGGACCUUCGGGCCUCUUGCCAUCGGAUGUGCCCAGAUGGGAUUAGCUAGUAGGUGGGGUAACGGCUCACCUAGGCGACGAUCCCUACCUGGUCUGAGAGGAUGACCAGCCACACUGGAACUGAGACACGGUCCAGACUCCUACGGGAGGCAGCAGUGGGGAAUAUUGCACAAUGGGCGCAAGCCUGAUGCAGCCAUGCCGCGUGUAUGAAGAAGGCCUUCGGGUUGUAAAGUACUUUCAGCGGGGAGGAAGGGAGUAAAGUUAAUACCUUUGCUCAUUGACGUUACCCGCAGAAGAAGCACCGGCUAACUCCGUG